rnacentral:tRNA from 1 species
CCAGUGAUGGACGAGUGGUUAAGGUGUUGGACUUGAAAUACAACUGGGUCUCCCUGUGCAGGUUGGAACCCUGCUCCCUGAG